rnacentral:rRNA from 1 species
CCUACGGGAGGCAGCAGUGAGGAAUUUUUCGCAAUGGGCGCAAGCCUGACGGAGCAAUACUGCGUGGAGGAUGAAGGCUCGUGGGCUGUAAACUCCUUUUCCAUGAGAAGAAGCUCUGACGGUAUCAUGGGAAUAAGCAUCAGCUAACUGCGUGCCAGCAGCUGCGGUAAUACGUGGGAUGCAAGCGUUAUCCGGAUUUAUUGGGCGUAAAGCGUCUGUAGGUGGCUUCGCAAGUUUGUUGUUAAAUCAUUCAGCUUCACUGAAUACAAGCAGCAAAAACUAUGAAGCUUGAGUGUGGUAGAGGAAAAGGGAAUUCCCUGUGGAGCGGUGAAAUGCGUAGAGAUAGGGAAGAACACCAAAGGCGAAAGCACUUUUCUGGGCCUGCACUGACACUGAGAGACGAAAGCUAGGGGAGCGAGUAGGAUUAGAUACCCUAUUAGUCCUAGCCGUAAACGAUGGAAACUACAUUUUGGGGCUCUGGACGAGNAUCGCUCAUCUAUUCUUCUAGAAGUAGGCGAGCGUAACCGUACGUUGUUAAGUUUACCCGUUCCGUUCGGGUAAGGUUAGUUGCGUCGCGAGAGAGAACGUUACGAAGGAAGUUAGACGGCGUUGGAGGACGUAGGACGAACGGACGACGACGAACGGGAAGGUUAAGG